rnacentral:rRNA from 1 species
AGUGAACGCUGGCGGUAGGCCUAACACAUGCAAGUCGAACGGCAGCACAGUAAGAGCUUGCUCUUACGGGUGGCGAGUGGCGGACGGGUGAGGAAUACAUCGGAAUCUACUUUUUCGUGGGGGAUAACGUAGGGAAACUUACGCUAAUACCGCAUACUACCUACGGGUGAAAGCAGGGGAUCUUCGGACCUUGCGCGAUUGAAUGAGCCGAUGUCGGAUUAGCUAGUUGGCGGGGUAAAGGCCCACCAAGGCGACGAUCCGUAGCUGGUCUGAGAGGAUGAUCAGCCACACUGGAACUGAGACACGGUCCAGACUCCUAAGGGAGGCAGCAGUGGGGAAUAUUGGACAAAGGGCGCAAGCCUGAUCCAGCCAUACCGCGUGGGUGAAGAAGGCCUUCGGGUUGUAAAGCCCUUUUGUUGGGAAAGAAAAGCAGCAGGUUAAUACCCCGCUGUUCUGACGGUACCCAAAGAAUAAGCACCGGCUAACUUCGUG